rfam:Triticum aestivum genome assembly, contig: Triticum_aestivum_CS42_TGACv1_scaffold_225243_3B
CAACUACUCCCUCCGUCCGGAAAUACUUGUCAUCAAAAGGGAUAAAAGAGGAUGUAUCUAGACGUAUUUUAGUUAUGGAUACAUCUCUUUUAUCCAUUUUGAUGAAAAGUAUUUUCGGAUGGAGGGAGUACAAA